rnacentral:rRNA from 1 species
AUUGAACGCUGGCGGCAGGCUUAACACAUGCAAGUCGAGCGGUAGCACAGGGGAGCUUGCUGCCUGGGUGACGAGCGGCGGACGGGUGAGCAAUGUCUGGGAAACUGCCUGAUGGAGGGGGAUAACUACUGGAAACGGAUGCUAAUACCGCAUAACGUCGCAAGACCAAAGAGGGGGACCUUCGGGCCUCUUGCCAGCAGAUGUGCCCAGGUGGGAUUAGCUAGUAGGUGGGGUAAUGGCUCACCUAGGCGACGAUCCCUAGCUGGUCUGAGAGGAUGACCAGCCACACUGGAACUGAGACACGGUCCAGACUCCUACGGGAGGCAGCAGUGGGGAAUAUUGCACAAUGGGCGCAAGCCUGAUGCAGCCAUGCCGCGUGUGUGAAGAAGGCCUUCGGGUUGUAAAGCACUUUCAGCGGGGAGGAAGGUGGUGAGCUUAAUACGUUCAUCAAUUGACGUUACUCGCAGAAGAAGCACCGGCUAACUCCGUG